rnacentral:rRNA from 2 species
CUUUGCAAUGUGCGAAAGCACGACAAGGUUAAUCCGAGUGGUUUCUGCUAAAGGAACCUUUUGACAGUCCUAGAAGCACUGUUGAAUAAGGGGUGGGCAAGUUCUGGUGUCAGCCGCCGCGGUAAAACCAGCACCUCGAGUUGUCAGGAUGAUUAUUGGGCCUAAAGCAUCCGUAGCCGGCUCUGUUAGUUUUCGGUUAAAUCUGUACGCUUAACGUACAGGCUGCCGGGAAUACUGCAGAGCUAGGGAGUGGGAGAAGUAGACGGUACUCGGUAGGAAGGGGUAAAAUCCUUUGAUCUAUUGAUGACCACCUGUGGCGAAGGCGGUCUACCAGAACACGUCCGACGGUGAGGGAUGAAAGCUGGGGGAGCAAACCGGAUUAGAUACCCCUGUAGU